UACGUAGGUGGCGAGCGUUGUCCGGAUUUAUUGGGCUUAAAGCGCGCGCAGGUGGUGCGGUAAGUCCUGUGUGAAAUCUCCCGGCUCAACUGGGAGGGUGCGGAGGAGACUGCCGGACUGGAGGCACUCAGAGGCCGGUGGAAUUCCCGGUGGAGUGGUGAAAUGCGUAGAGAUCGGGAGGAACACCAGUGGCGAAGGCGGCCGGCUGGGGGUGACCUGACGCUGAGGCGCGAAAGCGUGGGGAGCGAACCGG
rnacentral:rRNA from 1 species